UGGGAUUGUGGCUCAGUGGUAGAGCGCUCGCCUAGCAUGCACGAAGCACUGAGUUUGAUCCUCAGCACCUAA
rnacentral:tRNA from 1 species